rnacentral:misc_RNA from 1 species
CGCACAUUGCGCCCUCUAGUAUUCUGGUGGGCAUGCCUGUUCGAGCGUCGUCAACACCCCUCAAGCCUAGCUUGGCGUUGGGGCCCUAUACUCUCGGUGUAGGCCUCUAAAACUAGUGGCAGGACCGCAGCGGACCUGGGCGUAGUAAUACUACCCGCCUCGGGCUCCGCAGCGUGGGCUGCCGUAAAGCCGUCGCCUGGCGACAUUUAUCAUUUUGACCUCGGAUCAGGUAGGAAUACCCGCUGAACUUAA